GCCAGGGGGCCCAAGGGAAGCUGAACGCCGGGUUCAAACAAUACAGAAGUGUAUAAAGUAAGAAUUGGAAGUCUCUUCGCUGCUCUAAUCUCACUCCUCAGAGGUGAUCACUGUGUGGAAGAUGAUCAAAGUAUGACAUUUCUUCUACCCCAGAGGCUGGCAUUUCUGCAGGCACAAAUGAGCUUGGUUUUCAAGCACUGCUCUUUGAACACAAGGAAUUCCUUUAAUGAUCACGCCGGACUAUAUAGACUUUGGAAUCAGACUCUUUGAAUUCCAGCUCUGCCAUUUACCAACUUUGACACUUUGGACAACGUCUCAUUCUGUCACCCAGGCUGGAGUGCAAUGGCACAAUUAUAGCUCACUGCAGCCUCAAACACCUGGGCUCAAGCAAUCCUUCCACCUCUGCCUCCUGAGUAAUUGGGACUACAGGCAUGUGCCACCACACCCAGCUAAUUUUUAAUUUUUAAUUUUUUUGUAGAGAUGGCGGUCUUGCUAUGUCACCCAGGCUGGUCUUGAACACCUGGCCUCAAGUGAUCCUCCGGCCUUGGUCUCUCAAAGCUCUGGGAUUACAGACAUGAGCCACUGCACCCGGCUCUAUCUCCCCUUCCUAUGUGUGUUAGCUCUAGAACAAGAGAAGCCUUGUUGAGAUUCCUGGCUGCCCACCCCCCAUCACCUCUCUGACUUUGGGCAAGUUGCCUGGCCUCUCUCAGCCUUUAUUUUCUUUUUGUGAAAUGGGGAUAAUAAUAGUACUUGCCUCAUAGGCAAAAUGUUGUGAGAACUAAACGAGAAAAUGCAUGUAAAGCACUUGGCACUUAGUUCUUUUUAUGAUUAUAAUGAUAAUCAGACACAAUAAAUUAUGUCUCACAUCACAUGCUGUUUAGCCUAUUCACUGUUCUAUUUUUCCUGAAGUCAGUUCAGUGUGUAGCAUCCAGAAUUGAACAAAACACCCCCGAUGUGACCUGAUAGUGCAAAGUAAAC
rnacentral:lncRNA from 1 species